GAGACAGAGCACAGGUGCUGACAGGAAGUGACCAGAGACAGAGCACAGGAAGUGACCAGAGACAGAGAACAGGUGCUGACAGGAAGUGACCAGAGACAGAGCACAGGUGCUGACAGGAAGUGACCAGAGACAGAGCACAGGUGCUGACAGGAAGUGACCAGAGACAGAGGACAGGAAGUGACCAGAGACAGAGCACAGGAAGUGACCAGAGACAGAGCACAGGUGCUGACAGGCUGCAGAGA